rnacentral:rRNA from 1 species
UACGAAGGGGGCUAGCGUUGCUCGGAAUCACUGGGCGUAAAGGGUGCGUAGGCGGGUCUUUAAGUCAGGGGUGAAAACUCGGGGCUUAACCCCGAGCCUGCUUCUGAUACGGGCAGACUAGAGGUAUGCAGGGGAGAACGGAAUUCCUGGUGUAGCGGUGAAAUGCGCAGAUAUCAGGAGGAACACCGGUGGCGAAGGCGGCUUGCUGGGCCUUACCUGACGCUGAGGAGCGAAAGCGUGGGGAGCGAACAGG